rnacentral:misc_RNA from 1 species
UUUUAAGAACUAGAUACUAACACAUUUUU